rnacentral:rRNA from 1 species
AGACCGAUAGCGAACAAGUAGAGUGAUCGAAAGAUGAAACGCACUUGAAAAGAGAGUUAAAAAGUACGUGAAAUUGUUGAAAGGGAAGCGCUCAGACCAGACUUGGGCUUGGUUGAUCAUCCAGGGUUCUCCCUGGUGCACUCUUCCAGUUCAGGCCAGCAUCAGUUCGCUGUGGGGGAUAAAGGCUUUGGGAAUGUGGCUCCCUCGGGAGUGUUAUAGCCCAUUGUGUAAUACCCUGUGGUGGACUGAGGUUCGGGCAUUCGCAAGGGUGCUGGCGUAAUGGUCAUCAGCGACCCGUCUUGAAACACGGACCAAG